rnacentral:rRNA from 1 species
UGGGGGAUAUUGCACAAUGGGGGAAACCCUGAUGCAGCGACGCCGCGUGGAGGAAGAAGGUUUUCGGAUUGUAAACUCCUGUCGUUAGGGACGAUAAUGACGGUACCUAACAAGAAAGCACCGGCUAACUACGUGCCAGCAGCCGCGGUAAAACGUAGGGUGCAAGCGUUGUCCGGAAUUACUGGGUGUAAAGGGAGCGCAGGCGGGAAGACAAGUUGGAAGUGAAAACCAUGGGCUCAACCCAUGAAUUGCUUUCAAAACUGUUUUUCUUGAGUAGUGCAGAGGUAGAUGGAAUUCCCGGUGUAGCGGUGGAAUGCGUAGAUAUCGGGAGGAACACCAGUGGCGAAGGCGGUCUACUGGGCACCAACUGACGCUGAGGCUCGAAAGCAUGGGUAGCAAACAGGAUUAGAUACCCUGGUAGUCCAUGCCGUAAACGAUGAUUACUAGGUGUUGGGGGAUUGACCCCCUCAGUGCCGCAGUUAACACAAUAAGUAAUCCACCUGGGGAGUACGACCGCAAGGUUGAAACUCAAAGGAAUUGACGGGGGCCCGCACAAGCAGUGGAGUAUGUGGUUUAAUUCGAAGCAACGCGAAGAACCUUACCAGGUCUUGACAUCCGAUGCAUAACACAGAGAUGUGUGAAAUCCUUCGGGACAUCGAGACAGGUGGUGCAUGGUUGUCGUCAGCUCGUGUCGUGAGAUGUUGGGUUAAGUCCCGCAACGAGCGCAACCCUUAUUGCCAGUUACUACGUUAAGAGGACUCUGGCGAGACUGCCGUUGACAAAACGGAGGAAGGUGGGGAUGACGUCAAAUCAUCAUGCCCUUUAUGACUUGGGCUACACACGUACUACAAUGGCGUUAAACAAAGAGAAGCAAGACCGCGAGGUGGAGCAAAACUCAGAAACAACGUCCCAGUUCGGACUGCAGGCUGCAACUCGCCUGCACGAAGUCGGAAUUGCUAGUAAUCGCAGAUCAGAAUGCUGCGGUGAAUACGUUCCC